rnacentral:lncRNA from 1 species
ACCUGAUUUAUAUUUUUAUUUAUGUCAUGGCAUGUUUUCUUGAAAAUGUUAAAGAUUUGAGAUUUAAAUGUUGAGAUUUUAUAUGGUUAUAUAUUUCUGGGAAAGUAUACAGGUUUUUACGGCGAGGGGAUAUAACUGUUUUAAUGAAAUGUUUUGGAAAACUAAUUUGUUUUACUGACCCACUCAUUUUGUUUUGCGCCCCUCCAGGUUCUAGUUUAGCGGUGGUUGGCUCACGAGGUCCUUUCCGGCUUUCUGACAGAUUUGGGACAUGUAGGACUCACCUGAGGGUGAUGUAUU